UACGUAGGGUGCGAGCGUUGUCCGGAAUUACUGGGCGUAAAGAGCUCGUAGGUGGUUUGUCACGUCGUCUGUGAAAUUCCGGGGCUUAACCUCGGGCGUGCAGGCGAUACGGGCAAUACUUGAGUGCUGUAGGGGAGACUGGAAUUCCUGGUGUAGCGGUGAACUGCGCAGAUAUCAGGAGGAACACCAAUGGCGAAGGCAGGUCUCUGGGCAGUAACUGACGCUGAGGAGCGAAAGCAUGGGUAGCGAACAGGAUUAGAUA
rnacentral:rRNA from 1 species